CAUAUCACAUGACGUCACGCUCAGCAUAUCUACCAGGGGGAAGGCUGGCUGGUGGCCACUGCUCAGGAAUGGGCUGGGCAUCUGUCAGCGGAUGGGAGCCCUCAAGCACGUAUUUAUUUGCACUUUGAACCUGUGCUUGCUUGCAUGGCUAUGCUUUAGCUCAAACUGGGACCUGAUUGCUUUAGGGGAGACAGAGAUGAGAUUGUCUGAGUGCCAGUAAAGCUUCCGUGCCUUCGUCUGCGAUUCCCCCCAUUCACCCCAGCAGUCCAAGUUCUCCUGCAGGUGAUACCAAAGAGUGAGAAAGACUCCUACAGCUGAGAAAGACUCCUACAGCCGUUCGGAGAAAAGCAUUUGCAGCACAAUCACCCACAGAUGAAUGUCACCCGAAGCAGUGCUCCGAGAGACUGCAAUCAUGAUUGCCAAUAGCCAACAUCCAGACUAAAAAUAAAAAGCCACAGCAAGGGACUGAGAGACAAGAAAUACAUCUACUGACAAAAAUCACCAAUGGCCGAAAAGACCUCACCCCUCCAGUCCUGUUGUCUCUAUGCUGAAAGAAGCUUCCAUCUAGCAGCCUUCUCUUCU